AACUAUACCUAAGUGUUAUUACACACACGUAUCGGCACAUGUGCCGGGGUGCCUUGGCCUGGAUGGCGGGGUCGGCCGCAUGGGAUACGUGGAGGCAUAACC
rnacentral:sRNA from 1 species